rnacentral:rRNA from 1 species
GCAACGAGCGCAACCCUUGUCAUUAGUUGCUACAUUCAGUUGGGCACUCUAAUGAGACUGCCGGUGACAAGCCGGAGGAAGGUGGGGAUGACGUCAAGUCCUCAUGGCCCUUAUAGGUGGGGCUACACACGUCAUACAAUGGCUGGUACAAAGGGUUGGCCAACCCGCGAGGGGGAGGCCAAUCCCAUAAAGCCAGUCGUAGUCCGGAUCGUAGUCUGCAACUCGACUACGUGAAGUCGGAAUCGCUAGUAAUCGUGGAUCAGAAUGUCACGGUGAAUACGUUCCCGGGUCUU